AAGUCGUAACAAGGUUACCGUUGGUGAACCAGCGGUAGGAUCAUUACCACAAAAAAUACCUUAUACAAAAAACAACCCCGCAAAGCGGUCUGUUUUUGUUGCCUGCCCUUCACGGGGUUAGCAAGAAAAUUCUGACAUUGCUUUUUGUGAACAUAUAGACCCCGUUCUGUAUCUUUCUCUUUCUUUUCGGGGAGAGAGAAAGGUGCGAAUGGACAACCCACCUCGAGUUUUGCCUUGGGUUUUUCAUUAAACCCGAGGCAACGUGGGUAAUUUAACAUUUUAAACUACAUUAAAAAACUUUUUUUUCUGAAAAACAACCAAUCGAAUUAAAAAAAACUUUAAAAACUUUUUUUUGCUCUAUUGGCACACAAAACAAAAACAAAAAACAACUUUUAACGGUGGAUCUCUAGGCUCGU
rnacentral:misc_RNA from 1 species